rnacentral:tRNA from 1 species
AGCAGUGUGGCUCAGUGGAAAGGGCACGGGCUUGGGAGUCAGAAUCAUGGGUUCGAAUCCCAGCUCUGCCA